CAGGACUUCCUCCAGCAAAACAAUGUUCAGGUGUUACCUUGGCCUUCUCGAUCACCGAAUUUGUCCCCCAUUGAACAUCUAUGAGAUACUCUUGAUCGAUGCUUGUGCCAGCGUAAUUCGCCACCUCAGACACUACAAGAACUGCACACAGCACUUCA